UUUUGAGGAAGCAAUCGUCUUGUACUACAUCAUGCAGAGUGGAAGAGCUCUAAUUUGCAAGUCUUGUAAUACGUUCUUGGCAGGAGCAUACUUCAGUUGCUCUCAAUGUUUCUUCAAUGAUUCAGUUAGCACCUAUGAAAUUUGUUGUGAAUGUUAUGGUGGUAAAAAUUUCAAACACCACGAUUGUGCCAUCUUCUGCGAUAACUAUACUUUACUACGUCAAAGCAGGAGCGCGAUACAAGCGGCCCCCAUAAAGAAGCGAAGAAAGAGACACCUAGUUGCAGACAUAACCGGUGGUGUUGCUGAUCUUGCAUUAAAUUUUUACUGUAGCAUUAUGUGAAAUAAUGUUAAGCCACGAUGUUCUGAACGAAGUCCUAAGCCAAAUCCCAAAUAUUUGGGUUAAGCAGUGAACGUGGGAACAUGCAUGUGUGCUGCAGAACGUGGAAGGGGAACAUGCAUGGUACAUGCAACGUGGGAAAAUGAUGAGUUGGAUCGUGGUGCAAGACUAUGUUAUUUUAGUAUUAUGUUUUACUUUGAUUAACUUCUGUAUUACGUGGGCAGAGUAUAUGUGCUUACGGUUAGCUUGUCUUUGUAAUUCAGUUUGUUUGUGGUUUGCUUAUUUAAGCAGCUAAAGCUUUCAUUAAUGGGAUAUAAAAAAAAUUGCACUCAA